UGAGACCUGAUGCCGAGCCGAUUGUGGUGAAGUGGAUGAUCCUAUGCUGUCGAGAAAAGCCUCUAGCGAGUUUCAUGGCGGCCCGUACCCUAAACCGACUCAGGUGGUCAGGUAGAGAAUACCGAGGCGUUCGGGUGAACUAUGGUUAAGGAACUCGGCAAAAUGCCCCCGUAACUUCGGGAGAAGGGGGGCCACAUCCGGUGACGGCACUUGCUGCCUGAGCUGGGGGUGGCCGCAGAGACCAGCGAGAAGCGACUGUUUACUAAAAACACAGGUCCGUGCGAAGCCGUAAGGCGAUGUAUACGGACUGACGCCUGCCCGGUGCUGGAACGUUAAGGGGACCGGUUAGCUCUGAUUCGUCAGGGCGAAGCUGAGAACUUAAGCGCCAGUAAACGGCGGUGGUAACUAUAACCAUCCUAAGGUAGCGAAAUUCCUUGUCGGGUAAGUUCCGACCUGCACGAAUGGCGUAACGACUUCUCGACUGUCUCAACCAUAGGCCCGGUGAAAUUGCACUACGAGUAAAGAUGCUCGUUUCGCGCAGCAGGACGGAAAGACCCCGGGACCUUUACUACAGUUUGAUAUUGGUGUUCGGUUCGGCUUGUGUAGGAUAGCUGGGAGACUGUGAAGUCCACACGCCAGUGUGGGUGGAGUCGUCGUUGAAAUACCAGUCUGGUCGUGCUGGAUGUCUAACCUGGGUCCGUGAUCCGGAUCAGGGACAGUGUCUGAUGGGUAGUUUAACUGGGGCGGUUGCCUCCUAAAGGGUAACGGAGGCGCCCAAAGGUUCCCUCAGCCUGGUUGGCAAUCAGGUGUUGAGUGUAAGUGCACAAGGGAGCUUGACUGUGAGACCGACGGGUCGAGCAGGGACGAAAGUCGGGACUAGUGAUCCGGCGGUGGCUUGUGGAAGCGCCGUCGCUCAACGGAUAAAAGGUACCCCGGGGAUAACAGGCUGAUCUUCCCCAAGAGUCCAUAUCGACGGGAUGGUUUGGCACCUCGAUGUCGGCUCGUCGCAUCCUGGGGCUGGAGUCGGUCCCAAGGGUUGGGCUGUUCGCCCAUUAAAGCGGUACGCGAGCUGGGUUUAGAACGUCGUGAGACAGUUCGGUCCCUAUCCGCUGUGCGCGUAGGAGUCUUGAGAAGGGCUGUCCCUAGUACGAGAGGACCGGGACGGACGAACCUCUGGUGUGCCAGUUGUUCUGCCAAGGGCAUGGCUGGUUGGCUACGUUCGGGAGGGAUAACCGCUGAAAGCAUCUAAGCGGGAAGCCUGCUUCGAGAUGAGGACUCCCACCUCCUAGAGAGGGUAAGGCUCCCAGUAGACGACUGGGUUGAUAGGCCGGAUAUGGAAGCACGGUAACGUGUGGAGUUGACCGGUACUAAUAGGCCGAGGGCUUGUCCU
rnacentral:rRNA from 1 species